UACGAAGGGGGCUAGCGUUGUUCGGAAUCACUGGGCGUAAAGGGCGCGUAGGCGGCGCGGGUAGUCAACGGUGAAAGCUUGGGGCUCAACCCCGAGUCGGCCGUCGAUACUCCCGUGCUUGAGCACUGUAGAGGCAGGUGGAGUUCCGGGUGUAGCGGUGGAAUGCGUAGAGAUCCGGAAGAACACCGGUGGCGAAGGCGGCCUGCUGGGCAGUAGCUGACGCUGAGGCGCGACAGCGUGGGGAGCAAACAGG
rnacentral:rRNA from 1 species